UAUAUAUAUAUAUAUAUAUAUAUAUAUAUAUAUAUAUAUAUAUACUUAUAUCAAAAGGUUGGCUCAAAAGCAAAUUGGAGGAGCUAAUUAAUAUGGCUGUCACCUGAGCUACUGUAUUUUUUUUUUGAGAGAGAGAAGAAAGAGAGAGAGAAAAGAGAGAGAGAGAGAGAUUCUCUCUCUUUAAGCUUUGUUGGCUGUAAUCAAAUCAAAUCCUUAAAAAAAUAUUAAUCUUGGGAUUUUCAAGUUGUUUUAAAAUAAAAAGAAAAGAAAAUUAUCACCUCAUUAUGGAAUCUGCAAACAGCCAUCAUCACCAUCACCAUCAUAAUCAGCUCCAAGAUCAACUUGUUGGCUCUUCUUCUUCUUCUUCUUCUCCUUCCUCUUCUUCUUGCUUNNN
rnacentral:lncRNA from 1 species